CUCUCUUCACCUGCCUAUGGAUACCAAUCGUCGCAGAGUCGGUGCGUGGUAGCAGAGGCUGAGGAAUCAACAGGACUCGCGUGCCUACUUAUUGACUUUAGGCUUUGAAAACUCGCACUGGAUUUACACUGCAAAGACUUGGACACAUCUUAAGACAGGACAAUAAUGAGAACUGAGACGUGUGUCACAUGGGUGGUUUGUAGUCUCUGUCUAAUCACCUUGUCUGUCUGCCGACCAAUCAAAGACGUCGAAGGAGAAGCUUUUGCAUCAGACAAUGAGGAACGUCUCCUGUUAGCAGCCAAACUUUUACAACAGAUGCAACAGAGGCAGUAUGGCAUACGAUACUAUCCCAACAUCCCAACACACAAAAGAAACCUAGGGACAGUCGAUUCCUUGUACAAUUUACCAGAUCUCCUCUACAGAGGGAAAAGAUAGUCACACAGAGAAGCUUAGAACAAAUCGUUACGGAGAAGAUGGAUGAGACCCCAACAGAUGGAAUACUCGCUUUUCAAAGCUUACGCAAUAACCUUCGAUGGCCAUGCUAUCUAACGAAGUGGAGAUGAUUCAACUGCUUUUCACUUCUUUAUUUUAGAAAUACGGAAAAUUAUAUAUAAAUGAAUCUUUAAAAAAAUUACAUUGAAAUAAUUCGCUGUACUUUAGAUACGGAAUUUGUAAACGCGUUUAGAAAUUUCUUUCAUAAUGAAUACAUUGUAGAUUGUAUAUGAUAUUUCAUGUUACAUUUUGUACAUGUACCAAUUAUGUGAAAGAAAUUAUAUAUGAUACGUAAUCCAUUAUAUGACAAUUAAAUCAAAAGUUAAAAAAAAUGCAAAAAAAUGCAAAAGCUUAGACAAAGUUUCCUUUAAACUUUCAAUGGGAUACUCAACUGAUGGAAAACUUAAUUGUCCUUUUUAAUGUAAGAAGGAAAAAUAGUAUUUUUUUUUAAAAUUGUAAAUCAAUUAUAUUCAAUAUUGCGUAGGACGUGUUAUAUUUCAAUGAAUAAUUCACUUUUGUAAUUUUUAAAUUUGAUUUGGACCAAUGAUAUACAUUGCAAUCAUAUAAUUGACAGGGUUGCUAUGAUUAAACAGAUAUUAAAUUUUC